rnacentral:rRNA from 1 species
UCUUAUAAGAGGAUUAGCGCGCGAAGCCGGCNUUAGUUUCAAGCAUUGUUGAAAGGUAUCUUAUCCUGAAUUCCCCACGGAUAAGAAGCGAACGCUGGGAACUGAAACAUCUAAGUACCUGCAGGAAAGGACAUCAACCGAGACUCCGCCCGUAGUGGUGAGCGAACACGCACCACGGCCGGGGGCAUUAAGAAUAAAGUGGAACCACCUUGAAAGGGCUGCCCUAGCGGGUGAAAACCCCUCACACAUAAAACACUUAUCUUCCUUAAGGAGGGCGGGACAAAAUCUGUCCUAACAGANGGAGAUGGUCCCACAAGAU